rnacentral:rRNA from 2 species
CCAGACAGCCAGGAUGUUGGCUUAGAAGCAGCCAUCAUUUAAAGAAAGCGUAAUAGCUCACUGGUCGAGUCGGCCUGCGCGGAAGAUGUAACGGGGCUAAACCAUGCACCGAAGCUGCGGCAGCGACGCUGAUGCGUUGUUGGGUAGGGGAGCGUUCUGUAAGCCUGUGAAGGUGGCCUGUGAGGGUUGCUGGAGGUAUCAGAAGUGCGAAUGCUGACAUAAGUAACGAUAAAGCGGGUGAAAAGCCCGCUCGCCGGAAGACCAA